UGCCCAGCAACUCCUAUCCCUACCUCCUCGCGGUACCGAUCGGAAACUAUGAGCAACCUUAGGGAAGAUCGGGUAACCAACCCCGGUGGGAACUUUGGUCGUAGGCUGAUAGGGAAGG
rfam:Aedes albopictus isolate Foshan contig72771, whole genome shotgun sequence.